rnacentral:tRNA from 1 species
GGGGCCGUAGGGUAGCCUGGACCAUCCUUCAAGGCUGGGGGUCUUGUGACCGGAGUUCAAAUCUCCGCGGCCCCA